rnacentral:rRNA from 1 species
CAGCAGCCGCGGUAAUACAGAGGAUGCAAGCGUUAUCCGGAAUGAUUGGGCGUAAAGCGUCUGUAGGUGGCUUUUCAAGUCCGCCGUCAAAUCCCAGGGCUCAACCCUGGACAGGCGGUGGAAACUACCAAGCUGGAGUACGGUAGGGGCAGAGGGAAUUUCCGGUGGAGCGGUGAAAUGCGUAGAUAUCGUGAGGAAGACCAGCGGCGAAGGCGGCUCACUGGACAGUUACUGACGCUGAUGCUCGAAGGCCAGGGGAGCAAACGGGAUUAGAUACCCCCGUAGUCCCUGUCUCUUAUAC